AUCCUUUCCGGCACCUCUAUCCUUCCGAGCAGUGCAGAGCUUGGAUAUUCUUCUCUGUUAUUGAUCAAUCCUUCCUUGUGGUGGAUCAACAAACACAACUAUGAGUUAGUGAACGGUCUGAAGUUGCUGGAUUUCGGUCUUUCCGUUGUGAAUCGAGUCUGUUGCCAUCACAGACGACUGAAGGAGAGUUAGAGGACUUUGAUUCGAGACGAGCAUCUCGACACCCGAGUUGGACCAUUU